AAUAAAUAUAAUAAUUAUGUAUAAACAGCACAAACCUGUACUACCAUUACUUCUCACUGACUAUGUAAUACCCAGAUAGCUUCAGAUUUUAAUUAUCUUUAUUUCCUUCCUGGAAUUCCACACUUUUCGUCCUUAGUAUAACGGACCGAUCCUAGAAUGACAAACAAACUGUAUGACAACGUUUGAUCCCCUUACUAUAUUUAUCUACUCUAUUAAUAAAUAUUUAGAUGUGUUAUCUAGCUGUGUCUUUCUUUGAAACAUUCCAAUAACAUAUUACCGGAUUUCUUCCUUCUUUGAGACAUUUCAAUAAAAUAUUACCGGAUUUCUUCUUUCUUUGAGACAUUUCAAUAAAAUAUUACCGGAUUUCUUCUUUCUUUGAGACAUUUCAAUAAAAUAUGACCCGAUUUCUUCCUUCUUUGAGACAUUUCAAUAAAAUAUUACCGGAUUUCUUCCUUCUUUGAGACAUUUCAAUAAAAUAUUACCGGAUUUCUUCUUUCUUUGAGACAUUUCAAUAAAAUAUUACCGGAUUUCUUCUUUCUUUGAGACAUUUCAAUAAAAUAUUACCGGAUUUCUUCCUUCUUUGAGACAUUUCAAUAAAAUAUUACCGGAUUUCUUCAUUCUUUGAGACAUUUCAAUAAAAUAUUACCGGAUUUCUUCUUUAUUUGAGACAUUUCAAUGAAAUAUUACCGGAUUUCUUCUUUCUUUGCAGUUUUCGGAAUUCUCCUUUUGUACUUCCUGUUCAACGGAACUGGACAGGUUGCCGGAUAAACGGAAAUGACGUCAUAUCGUUACACAAACAUACAGGGGUCGGUCCAGCAGCCAAAGAUAUCUUGCUCACUAGAACAUGUAAUAUAUUUUGUUGAUGUAAAUAAAAUGAUGACUUUUAUUA